GGGACUCAAUAAAUACCAAAUCUUAGAAGAAUGUAACUCCUGUUCUGUGUUAAGGAUUGCUCCAGGACCUCCACUUCCAUCCUCUCUAAUCCUCACGAAACUCCUACCAAGAAAGGAUUACUAUACCAUGGUUACAGGGGAGGAAGCUGAAGCUAAGAGAGUUUAAUGAACUUGAAUGAAGGUCAAGCAGGUAAAAGAAAACCAGCUCUGGCUCUACAGGUGUCCAUCAUAGGAUGCAAUCCUCCAAGCCCGUCCUCACUGGCCUCCUGGCCCCCGUCUCGUCACCCUCCAAGUUGCUGCUAUGGACACAGAUCAACCUCUGGGUGCAGCGCACCUGGCAGUGAGGUGUCAAGCGAGCCUUCAACCUCUCCCCACAUCAAUUUUCUCACCUUGACAUUGGGGAUCAGAGUGCCUAUUGUGUAUCCACUCAUCCAUUCAUUUCAAGCAUGUUCAUGGAGCACCCAUCACAUGUCUUCCAAGCAACGACAGAGGAGAUGUGAGGACCGACUGUAACAACCUAAGAAAGCACUGAGCAAAUGAGAGAUGCUCCACAUAUGUGGCUCUUUCACUUUCUCUUCUUUCCCAAAACACCAGUUUAUAAAUCAGCAUCACAGCUCCAAAGCCUCUGUGUGUCUUUUCCCCUGCCAAGGAUAAAGUCCAUAUUUCUUUGUUGACCUUUAACAUUUAAGAUAUCUAAGACAAAUCUAUCUAUCUAUUUAUUUAUGAAAAUUUAAGCUGUA
rnacentral:lncRNA from 1 species